rnacentral:rRNA from 1 species
AGAGCGGUAGCCCGGAGAUGGGCACUGAGACAAGGGCCCAGGCCCUACGGGGCGCAGCAGUCGCGAAAACUCCGCAAUGCACGAAAGUGUGACGGGGCUACCCCGAGUGCCGUCCGCUGAGGAUGGCUUUUUCUCGGUGUAACUAGCCGAGGGAAUAAGGAGAGGGCA